rnacentral:misc_RNA from 1 species
AAGUCGUAACAAGGUUUCCGUAGGUGAACCUGCGGAAGGAUCAUCAAUAAAUGAUAAACACUGUAUUGUGGACUGUAAGACCAGGAGUGCGUGAGGCUUUGGUUUCGCGCACCCCAUUUCUGUUCUCUCUGAGAGCAACAAAAACACACACACACAACUUGUACUGAUAUAAUCUAACCAAAUACAACUUUCAACAAUGGAUCUCUAGGCUCUU